AUGAUUCCGAAAACAUUAUGUGAUUUGCUUGGUUUCCGUGAUUUUGAUGAUUGUUCUUUAAACUUGCACCUUGCGGAUUCCACUAUUAAGAAACCUAUUGGAAGAAUUAAUGAUGUUCUUAUUGUUGCAAAUAGGAACUAUGUGCCCGUAGAUUUCAUUGUUCUUGACAUAGAUUGUAAUCCUUCAUGUCCUAUUAUUCUUGGUAGACCUUUCCUUAGAACGAUUGGUGCAAUUAUUGAUAUGAAGGAAGGGAACAUUAAAUUCCAAUUUCCAUUAAGGAAAGGCAUGGAACACUUCCCUAGAAAGAAAAUUAAAUUACCAUAUGAAUCUAUUAUAAGAGCCUCUUAUGGAUUGCCUACCAAAGAUGGCAAUACCUAG
rnacentral:rRNA from 1 species